rnacentral:snRNA from 1 species
GGGUGACCUGGCUGCCACCUCUUUCGCCCCAUCUGUCACUGGGAUUCAUUCAAUUGAUCUGGCUGAGUAGGCUGGUGUCUCUAUGUGCAUCCCUUCCCAAAACUGUGCACUUGGUUUAAGCCUUAUCCAGUAGAGGAGAACCUGUCUUUGGUCAAGAGUAUACAAGUAGCUGUGCUACCCUGCUAGAACCUCCGAAAAAGCUCUAAAGAUAUUAUACACCAGUGGGAAUGGGAAGGAGCUACAAAGUUGG